rnacentral:misc_RNA from 1 species
CCGUCCAACUCACGGCUCCGCCGCGGCGGGGCACGUGGCCGUGGCCGCCCUUGCGCUGCUAACGCUUCGCAUCGAUGGCUGGAAGACCAGUGGCGGGCCGUCCCCGACCACGCGGUCUGGGCGGGUGUCGUGGCUAAGCAGGGGGUUCCACCUCGCUCUGUCGCCGCCCCUCAGCUGCCGCGUGUUGGAGCGGGUCUGCCGGCAAAGACAGCAAGAUGUGCUCUGUGCGGGCAGUUGGCCCUCGAGGUGCACGCCAUUCUGC